GACAGAGGGGGCAAGCGUUGCUCGGAAUUACUGGGCGUAAAGGGCGCGUAGGCGGGAUGGCAAGUCGGUCGUGAAAUCCCUCGGCUCAACUGAGGAUCGUCGAUCGAUACUGCCGUUCUUGAGGAUUGCAGAGGAGACUGGAAUUCCCGGUGUAGCGGUGAAAUGUGUAGAGAUCGGGAGGAACACCGGUGGCGAAGGCGGGUCUCUGGACUGUAACUGACGCUGAGGCGCGAAAGCGUGGGGAGCAAACAGG
rnacentral:rRNA from 1 species